rnacentral:rRNA from 1 species
CGCGUAGGCGGCCUUGUAAGUCCUGUGUGAAAUCCCCCGGCUCAACUGGGGAACUGCACAGGAGACUGCUUGGCUUGAGUUCGGGAGAGGGAAGCGGAAUUCCGGGUGUAGCGGUGAAAUGCGUAGAUAUCCGGAGGAACACCGGUGGCGAAGGCGGCUUCCUGGACCGACACUGACGCUGAGGCGCGAAAGCCAGGGGAGCAAACGGGAUUAGAUACCCCGGUAGUCCUGGCUGUAAACGAUGAGCGCUGGGUGUAGGGGGUAUUGACCCCCCCUGUGCCGAAGCUAACGCAUUAAGCGCUCCGCCUGGGGAGUACGGUCGCAAGGCUGAA